AUGGCAGCUCCGACGAGAGCACUAGUCCUCGGCGUCCUGCUGGCGAUUGCCGUUGCCAAUGCCAAGGCGGCGUCCGUGGUCGUCGGCCUGGUCAAGUGCGCCGACUGCACGAGGAAGAACAUGAAGGCCGAGGAAGCCUUCAAAGGUCUCCAGGUGGCAGUCGAGUGCAAGAACGUCCACGGCGACUAUGAGAGCAAGGCAGUGGGCGCCCUCGACCGCACUGGCGCCUUCAGCGUGCCCCUCACCGCAGACCUCCACGGCACCAACUGCGUCGCUCAGCUCCACAGCGCCGCCUCCAACGCGCCGUGCCCCGGCCAGGAGCCAUCCAAGAUCGUGCCGGUUUCCGAGGGCACCACCUUCGGCAUCGUCGCCGGCGACAGCAUUGCCACUCCGUCUGCAGCGUCGCCGGAGUGCACGUCCAUGACCCUGUGCGGGCCGAUCAAAAAGCACAUCAUCGAGCACUUCCACCACAAGAAGCCCGUGCCGCCCUAG
rnacentral:rRNA from 1 species